AGAUCACACGCUGAGAGAGGAAGCAAGAGAGAUCAUGGAGAGGUGACGGGAUCUUUUUAACAACAGGCUCUUACGGGAACUAAGAGUGAGAACUCACUCACCACCACACCUCCAGGUGAAAGAUUCAUUGUUGUGUGACGGCAGCGUUAAAUUCAAGCAAUAAGGGGGAGACUGUGCAACUUAAAGCACCACUUUGUUUCAUGUUUCUGAUCCGGUGAAAGAUUUAGAGCAAGGAACCUAGACAGAUCAUGAAAUGAAGCUGGCCAAUCCUGAGUGCUCAUGAAGCAACAACUUGGUAUCAAGUUUUCUGUGCGUCACCUUCGAGUAAGACAAAUGAGAGAAGAUGGGGUUCUUUCCUGAAAGAGAACGCUAAUAAUCAUUUAAAUGCACAUGAUAGAAAUAUUAAACACUGGUGAUGGACAGAACAGAUUGGAAAGUAAAAGGUCAAGUAUCAGCAAUGGCCCGAGACGGAAGAAGCUUUGGAAAAUUGGCAUAGACACAGUCUUCAGUAGAAGCAUGUGGCUGAGCAGACAGAAAAGGAGAAGCAGAUGGAGGUGAUGGAUGACAGGCUAUGUGUUUGUGUGUGGGUUUGUCUGAUUGGAGUAGGACUCAAGGACUGGAUUGAAGAGGGAGGUAAUUAGGUAAUUUCUUUUUCUCCAAACCACUGAGUUUUUGUUUUACUUUAUAAAAUAACACCUAUUAGUUAUCAUUAUUAUUAGUAGUAGUGUUUCAAACAUAAACUAUGUUAAUGUGAUAUACAAAUCACACAAACACAUAAGUGAACAUAGAAAAUAAAGACUGCUGGUAAUGGUAACUUGCAGAAAUAACCACUGUUAACCUUUCAUUCUGAAUGUUUCCUAUUGUAUAUAUUCAUCCACAUCUAUUUGUACACUUUUCUUCUACUUUGGGGUUAUGAUACACAACCUACCCUGUAGCCUGUUUUCUUUUCUUUACUUAAAAAUCUAAGAUUUUUCAGAUUACAUAUUCCUCCUAAACAUAAUUUUAAUGGUUGUGUAACUUUUUGUUACACAGGUAUAUUAACACCAAUUUAAAUAAUUUUUUAUUUUUCAGUAUUUAGGUUGUUUCCUAUUUUAGCUUCUUAUAAUAUUAAUCUGAUCAACAAAUCUGCAUCCAUGUAUUAUGUGCAUGUAAACUGGAUUAUCAUUUUAAGUGUGAGACAAGAAAUUCCCAGCAGUUAUUCAAUAUUAAUAUGUUUCUCUCUCUCUUCUCCCUGUAUAUAUUACACAGACACACACAAGCAUAUAAAAUAACACUACAAAACAAGUAGCAAUAUACCAGCAAGGCUGAAGAGGUAACGGAAAUACAUAGAUGGAAAAUCCAAGAUACAAAUUCAGUUCUCUCUAACAACAAAUUCUAAAUUGUCUCCUCUAUGACACUACUGCUAAUAGUAAUAAUAACUCGCCUUAGUUGAGCACUAACUAUGUGCUAGGCAAGGUACUAAAUACUUUAUGUAAACUGUCUCAUAUAACCCUUACAACAUCUCUAUAAGGUUGUAGACGCAAAAAGGGGGUGAUCCCUUUUCUCCUCAUAAAGGGUCAUGGCCAAAACUCCCCGUAACAAAAGAGAGCUUGAUAAGAGACAAGCAUAACAAAUUUAUUAUGUGCAUAGGAGUCACACAAAAAAAUAUUAAAAACUCAAAAAAGGGCCAGAUGAUUGAUGCUUAAAUAUCCUCUUCAUUGGAGAGAGGAAAGUGAAUGAAUAGACCCAAGGACAAGAUAAUGAUUUAUCAAAGAUUCUCUUUGGAUGCUGAAUGCAACCAAAAAACACACAAUAGCUGGUGGACAAGUUAGAGAAGGGUGUGGGGCAGAACUGCAUUGUGAACAAUGGUUGUCUUAUUACGCAAGUACAGUUCCCCAAGUAAUUUCUCACAACUGCCCUUAAAAGAAUCGAUGAAAAGUCUGUCUGCAUGUGGUUACAAUUUCCAGUCUCUCCUCUUCUCCAGUGUUAAUCCUUCCUGGUUAUUUAAUGAGAUUCCUAAGAAGAGGGUUUUAAGAUAAUUUCCUUUAAUUUACAAGAAGUUUUCUCAGACAAAUACGGAAAUUUCAGAGAAAGUCCCUUUUGGAAAAUAAAAAGGAUCAGAGAAACAGGAAGGCAGAGGAAGGUCAGAGGGAGACCUUAAAGGUCUCCCUUUACUUUGGCAUGCCAGAGCAGCAUAUUUUGAGGUAUUGGUUUCUGAGCCCCAACAAGGUAAACAACUAUUAUUAUAACCAUUUUAGAGUUGAAGAAAAAGGAGCAAAAAUAAUUUAAUAAUUUCUGCAAGGUCACACCACUGGUUACUACAUUUGUCAAGAAGUCUCAAUGUGUAGAGGGUAGACAUACAUUACAAGAUGACUUCAUAUUUGGAUACACUAUAUGGGUUUGAGAUAGGAUUUUUUGGUACCUAUAAUAGUCAUAUUGGCAAAUGUUACAAUGGUGGCAGUAGAGUAUCUUGGUUAACAGUACAGACUCUAGAGACAGACUGCUCAAAUUCAGAUUUCAGCUCUGGCACCCUAGCUGUGUGACCUUAGUCAAGUUAAUUAAUACCUCUGUGCCUAAGUUUUCUCAUCUCUAAAAUUGGGAUAAUUAUAAUAGAUAGUUAUGAAAAUUAAAUAAGAUAAUUAAAUAGACAGCUCCCUUCCAGUAAGGCUUCAAUAAAUGUUAACUAAUAUCCAAAGAAGUAAUAAACAAAAUGACAAAAAAGCAUCAAAUAAAAAUUAACACAUAAAUAGAGGCGUUUGCUCCUAGACUGAGCUAUGAAAAAUGAGACUUCCUUUGGAAAAUUCCAAUUAGGCUUUCGUCUGUUAACAUUUAGAGUAUAGUGAAAAUUAAAAAAUAGCACAAAAACAUAGUAACUUAAUUUCGACUCUAUUGUAUGUCAUAAAAUAAUUAGCUAUUCACUCUUCUCAAAUGAAGAGAGCUGGUAGCUCACUGCUGGGUGAGACCUCAGUGAAAACUCAUUCACAGAAAGAACCAGGAUCAGUUUUCUAGCAUUUAGGAAAAAACAUCCAAAGAGAUAUAAACAAAAGUCUGCAGACACAGCCCAGAGAAAGUCUGAUAGGUGAAUAGAAGCCAAGUGAGCUAGGGAGAAUGCCUUUCUCACCCCUCCAAUCGACACUUACAAGUUCCCAAGCUUGAUGACCUUGGCUCAUCCUAAAAAAGACAUCUGUACCACAUCUGGUAAGACAGGGGAUAAGGGGACACAGAAUGAAAGAAUUUUAUACUGAAAUGGGACAUUGGUCCAAACACUGAGGCAAUAGAGAUCCUGAAACAGGAGUAAGUGACUCACACAAAACGGCUAGAAUCCAGGUUUCCAAGCAUGGUCGGUUCAGUGCUCUUUGAUUCUACCACCUUGCCUCAUUUACGUAUGUGUAUAUAUGUGUAUUCAUGGACAUAUAUUUAUUUAUUACAUGAAUGUGUUAUAUAUGUAUAUAUGUCAAUAUAUGUUUAUGUGAUUGGAUAUUUAUAUGCAUGAAUAUGUUAACAUAUAUGCAUGAUAUCUGUAUUUAUAUAUAUAUGUAUUUCAUUCUGUAUAUUCUAUCAAGUACCUACUGACAGCUCUGUUGCAUGAUUUGUGUCAUGAAUAAUUGACAAUAUCCAUACAGGGAGUUUAGGUUAAUUUACAUCAAAAUGUUUUUUGAACACAUUUAGAAAUUUUUCACAGCUCUGCAUGGUUAUAGAUUCGGUUUUCGUGUUCAUGGACUUUGUUUUGCUGAUGCAGUGCUGAACGGCAGAGGCAUUUUCAGAAAAGCACAUCUCAAAGGACAAGAUCAAAUGACAUUGUAACUGAAGUCUGCAUUUUUGGCCCACUUCAAAUGCGGAGAGAUACACCUGCAGUUUCUGAAUGGAUUUCUUCAACAAUGCCGCCUAAUUGACUCACAUUAAAAAUACUUUGAUCGACCCAUCUCUUUGUCACAUGAAGCUGGAAACACUAACAGAGGCUGUUGGAAAGAAAGGUCUGGUUCCGUGGCCAAAUACCUUGACUUUUCCAAAAACAGACUUUUUCUGUCUCUUCAGAAGAAGAAUUACAUGCAAUGGGAAGAUUGAUGUUCCUCUGUCAGAAAGCUACCUUGGAACAGGUGCUCCCAAUUAAUUUCCAUGAGCCACAUUUAUCCUGUGGUCAGAUAAUUAAAAAAAAAAUAACCUGGAUAAACCUUCUUUUGCCAGUCUAAUAACCACAUUUGAUGUAAUAAAACAGCAAGCACUUAGGAAUAUUCCAAUAAAAAAGAUUUAUUUUUAUUCUAGUAUAUAUUAUAAUGAAUAAUAUUAUUGAUAUUAUAGAAUUUAAAAUUACAUUAAAUCAGAGCUAUUUAUGUUUAUUAUGCAAAAUGUACACAAUAUAGAAAAAUAUAAAGAAAAAUUUCAAUACACAAAGUAUGGAUAUGCUUUAUUUUCACUCCAUUUUCACAUAUAUAUUGACACAGAUGCAGUCAAACAUUAUUUAGAGUUUUAUGAAUUAAUAACACAGUCAUUAAAAAGUAAUUAACCAAGUAAUAUUCAUAGUCAUUGCAAACUAAUUGGAAAAUAUAAAUAAAUAAAAUAUAAGCAUCACUUUCUUUUUAGUAGCACAAUACUUUUUCUGAUACAUGUUAUUUCUAUUUUUUUGCUUUAAAAUUCAAAAGAUUAUAUUUAUGCAGUAAUGGAUUUUUGUGGUUGUUAUAGAGCCCAUGUGCCCUGGGGAAGGAUUUUAAAUAUCAUGAAACUGAGUUCUUUCCAGUUUUCUUUCUCAUUAAGGGGACUGAAGAGAUCAGCCCCUUAGCAAAGAUUUGACUGAGAUAUAAUAGAGACAAUUAUGUACUCUAUUACCAAUUCGGAUGGACUUUAUGGUAUUUAAAUGAACAAAGCUCUCUUUGUCAUUUCAUUAACAUGAUUCCUUUUCAGAGAAUGAGCAGUUCUCAUCUCCUUCCUCCAUUUUGGGAAAACAGCCCAAUUUUUCUCAAGCUCAUUUGAAAGGCAAAAUGGUUGUUGAUCUCUCCAUAAUUGAUUGAGGAUGUGUCUGGCCGCUGAGAGUACCUGAAUCCAUGGCUUAUAUCAGACCACACUAGAGUGAGAAGUGCCAUGUUCUAUUUGGGUGGAAUAGUUAGAGGUUCAAAAACCACAGAACAUAACAAGCAUUAUUAAUUUAUAAUUCCGUGGCAUUUGUUAGCUUGUUUUUCUCAUUUUUUCUUUUUCCCUCUUAAAAAAUGAAACGUGUAACGUCUGAGACCAGAACAUAUUGUUCUAAAAGGGUUCAAAUUUAAAAUGCUGAAUUUCUUCAUUUGAACUUUACCCAAUUAUGAGAAUUUUAAUACUUGCAAAUUAUUUUUUAUUGUUUUAUUUUACUUUUAAAAGUAAUUUUAUACAUUAGCUAGUCUUACUAAUUAAAAUGCAUACAUCCAAAUUGCCCAUAUUUAAGAAGCAUGUCAAAAAUAAAUGAAAAUAAUGGAUCCAGAUGAACAAUGAGCUUUUAUUUUACUUUGGCAUAUUUUAAGAACUAUAAGCUCAGAAGUAUGUAUGCAUAUUAUUUUAUAUAUUGUACAUUAUUAUAUGUACAUUAUCAUAUACACGUAAGCAUAUUCAUGUAUUACCUAUCAUAGACGUUUGAAAUGCUUGUUUCUCGGUGCCGUAAAGAAUAGCACUUGAACAUAAAUUUAAUUUACUCAGCAAGGCCGUUUUUAUACUUUCUGCAGAAAGGGUACACUCACCAGCAGUUUUGCCAGGAGAGUACACCAAACAAAGGAGACAGGGUCAUUUCCAACCUGCAGUGCCCACCAUACUGUUGUGUCCAGUUUCCGUUGGCUGGAACGGGGCCUCACAUUUUGUUUUGUCUCGAUUGACUGGCGACUUAGAACUUUUUAAAGAGGCAAAAGUAGAAGAGAACAAAGGAGAGAGGAAGUAACUUGUGGAAUGCUGAGAAAGGUAAAAACACCUUUAAAUAAGGAAAAGGAACAGGCUAUGACCUAAUGCUUGCUUCAACCAGUAUAAGCCUGCCAGGGCAAAUAUUUAGGCCAAAUUGUGGGAGCUAAGAACAUAAAGUACGUUGAUUUCUUUACCACAGCUAGCAGAUAUUUAAGAAUGUUAGCACAGGUCUUUGAAUAAAUUUUGCUUCUAAGAGAAGUUACUAUUUAUUCCUAAUAAAUGGGGAGGAAAAUCUUUGAAGAGGAACCUUUACUUUAUUUUUUACAAUAGAGUUCAAUAUAAAAGCUGGGGAGGGGCUGGGCGUGGUGGCUCACGCCUGUAAUCCCAGCAUUUUGGGAGGCCGAGGCGGGCGGAUCACAAGGUCAGGAGAUCGAGACCAUCCUGGCUAACACGGUGAAACCCCGUCUCUACUAAAAAUACAAGAAAUCAGCCGGGCGUGGUGGCGGGCACCUGUAGUCCCAGCUACUCGGGAGGCUGAGGCAGGAGAAUGGCAUGAACCCGGGAGGCAGAGCUUGCGGUGAGCUGAGACCGCACCACUGCACUCCAGCCUGGGAGACAGAGCGAGACUCGUCUCAAAAAAAAAACAAACAAACAAAACCUGGGGAGGAUUUUCUGCCUUAUAGAUACUAAGAAGAGACCUCCAUAUUGUCUCUUUGGGUCUUGGUAAUGCUUAUAUAAGCUACCACCUUGUAUAAGACAUCGAACCACAUACCUUGAGCCUGCUCUCUCAGUAUUACUCUUCUAAGAGUGAAAAGAAGUAGUCCAGUAUUGAACAUUAGUUAAAAUAAGGACACAAAUGUCUGUGUAAUUAAGUUCUUAAACAACAGAGUAGAAAUGGAAACAAACUUUAAAUACCCUACUUAAGAUCUGUAAAAUUCUUUGGAACUACCCAAGUUUCUGUGUUACUUCAUGGAUCUUUUGCCUAAGAUGAGACCUCUUCCUCGAGUGCUCUUUUAUCCAUUUCGACUCAUCCCUGAGACCCGUAAUUUAGCUAAAUCCCAUUCAUUGUUUGAGUAAAGUGAGUACAGAUUUUGGGGACCUAAAGCAUGUGUAGGUUUGAGGGACUUAUUUUAAGAAAAAGAAUAUAAAGUUACAAAUAGAAAGGGUAUGUUGGAAAUGAAAGUUGAUUAUGAAUAAGAAAAUAAAUCACAACAAAUAACUGCACACUUAAGAUUCAGCCCAAUUUCUUCCAAGAUCUCUUUAGGUAAUUUAAUGAAAAUACUUAAGAAGAAAUGAUACCUGUUUGCAUCCUGGAUUUUCCUCCCCAAAUUUAACACCCGUUCCUCUCUGGGACCUGCCCAAGGGAGAAACCAAAAAACUGAAGUUUCUUUAAAAAUUUUGUUUUAAUUGACACAUUGUACAUAUGGGAUACAAUGAAAUCUUAUCCCCUGUGACAACAUGAAUAAACUUGGAUCACAUCAUGUUAAGUAAAAUAAGCCAGACACAGGACAAAUAAUAAUCACACUCAUGUGAAAUCUAAAAAAAAAAAAAAAAAGUUGUUAUCAUAGAAGCAGAGUGGAACAGUGGUUAACCAGAGACUGUCGGGGGAGAAUGAAGAGAGGUUGGUCAAGCGCUUCUUGAGCAUUAUGGCAAGUCUCAGGCUGUCCCUUCUUGUAAGAAAUCUUCUUUGUUUGCUUUCAGUAUUCCUCCCCUGAGCUUCUGUGGCAUAUUAUGUCCUCCUCUAUCUUAGCAUUUACCACCUUGUAUUUUAAGUGCCCUAAUUAGAAUAGGAGUCUUUCGGAUAGGAAAUUUGAAUCCCUCCCCAUUUUAUCCCCAAUUUUCAGCACAGUUCUUAUCAUAUAAUAUGCACCAAAUAAAUAUUUUCCAAUAAUAGCAAAUAAUUGCAUAGUGCUUACCAUAUACCGGGCUCUCUUCUAAGUAUUUUACAUCUCUUCACUAGAACAAAGCUAACUUUAUUAUCAAUAUUAUAUAGAUGAGGAAACUAAGAAGUAGAGAGCUUAAAUAACUUGCCUAAGUCCAGAGAGUUAGUUCACACUGGAGCUGAAAUUCAAACCCAGGCGGUGUGCUAAUACAGUUCAUGCUCUUGACCCCAUGCAAUACUACCUCUCAAAAGGAAUGCUUUUCUUCAUUCUUGCUUUAAGUGGCAUUUCAACUCCAUGCCUCAAGGCAUGGUUUGCUACAAUGGCCGACUCCUUAAGAAUUGAUAAUCCAAUUUGUGAAUUUUUGAAGACUUGCAGCCUCUUCACCCCCCCUACAGCUUCUUGCCUGUAGGAAACACAUGCUUGUUAGUACCUCCCCAGAGAUGUUGUCAGGAGAUGAGACCAUAUUACUUCCAUUGUCCUCUACAACCCCCAGUUAUUCUUAAUCCUACUGGGGUCUCUAGAAGCUAAUCUUGCAGUAGUUUGUCUGUAAGUGUGGAUUCCAAAUAGGAAGUAACCCUUUAUUACCUAUACUUAACCUUUUCACCCCUUAAGGGUUGAUCAUCCGAACCAAUCCUCUCCUUGGAAAGAUAUGUUAAGUACACAAAUGGAAGCUCAAAAUAUGUCCUUUCAGCAGUUGAAAGAUUUUUAGUGGCAGAGUGACAGAAUAAAAACUAUAUUUAAAGAGGAUUAGGAGAUGCAUUGAAGAAGAGGAAGAGAUGGGAGAUGAGGAGAUGAGUGAAGAGCAAAUUGGUUUCGUGCUGCAACAGCUUCCAAUGUGGACACUGACCCUGCAAACCUGCCAACCAUUUCUAACACUUUACUUUAAAAUAAUUAUUUCCUGAAACUGAUUUUGGUAUAAUUUCCCAAGUCUAGUGAUUCUCAUAACAGUUUACUUUGAGAACCUUGUGUAUCAGUCCAUUCUCACACUACUAUAAAGAACUGCCCAAGACUGGGUAAUUUAUAAAGGAAAGAGGUUUAACUGACUCACAGUUCCGCAGGGCUGGGGAAGCCUCAGGAAACUUACAAUCGUAGUAGAAGGGGAAACAAAUGCAUCCUUCUUCAAAUGGCGUCAGGAAGGAGAAGUAGUGCUGAGCAAAGGGGGAAAAGCCCCUUAUAAAAACAAUCAAAUCUUGUCAGAACUCACUCACCAUCAUGAGAAAAGCAGCAUGGGG
rnacentral:lncRNA from 10 species